UCCGGGGGGUGCGAGCGUUGUCCGGAAUCCCUGGGCGUAAAGGGCGCGUAGGUGGUCUGAUAAGGGUGUGGUGAAAGCCCGGGGCUCAACCCCGGGUCGGCCGUGCCGACUGUUAGACUAGAGUGCUGUAGGGGCAGGCGGAAUUCCGGGUGUAGCGGUGGAAUGCGUAGAGAUCCGGAGGAAGACCGGUGGCGAAGGCGGCCUGCUGGGCAGUUACUGACACUGAGGCGCGACAGCGUGGGGAGCAAACAGG
rnacentral:rRNA from 1 species